rnacentral:siRNA from 1 species
GUGCGACGGUGACGACUGAGGCGU